AGGCGGCGUGGGGUGGUGGAAAGCGGUGGUCGGGAAAAAAAAAACCAAAGAAGAGAGGUAGUCGGGAAAAUAAAGAAGGGAAAGAAGAAAUCUCCCGCACGUGCGUGACUUAUGCGUCACAUGCGGCAAUUCAAAUUUUGACCUUUUUUUUAUUAACUCAAGUGGAGUCGGGUUAUCGGAUUAACAAACCCAACCCACUAAGAUAGUCCGAUCCGCAAGAUUUUUUUUUUUGAAUGAUUCGGGCUAAUGGAUGAUGGGCUAAUGGGUGUAGACCUUACCCGCACUGUAGACCAUCUUCCCCCUUCGAUGACUCCGCCGGAUCACGCCUGAUUUCGCGGCGGUGGUUGCGGGGAGGCGUUGCGCCGGUGGAGUAGGGUGGCGUCGAAUGGGGCAGCGGCGUCCUUCUCCUAGAUCCGGCCACGGGCGGUGGCCGCAAGAUGCGGCCGAAGCAUCCGGGGAGGCACGGUGGUGUCCGAUGGCGAAUCAGCGGUGCAACGAAACGGCGGCGGUGGUUGGUGCAUGCACAGUGACGGUUGGAGGGGAAAAUGACGAGGAGGCCAGCU
rnacentral:lncRNA from 1 species